AAGGUUAAGGAGGUGGCAACUUCAAGGAUCUAAAUGGACUUUUACCUCACUUAUUACCAUCAUUUAUGAAUGAAUAUUCAUUCAUUUCAAGCCAAAAUUUGCAGCAAGAAAGGAUGAAACCCGUAGCCCUUCUUCUCCAAUUUUCUCCAAAAUUCAAAUGAUCAUAACUUCUUCGUUUCUCAACGAAAUUUAGCGAUUCUUGCGGCCACGGAACGAGGAAACGAUUAUCUACAGAUUUAUGGUUUCAAUUUGAGGUGUUUAUAAGCUUGAAUUGGAUGCAAAUGAUGAUGGAGCUAAGGUUUUCAAGGUAAGAAAAUCAAUUUUAGGUUUCAUGGUUAGUUUUCAUGGAUUGAUGAUAGUAAAGAUUAGAGUUUAUGAUGUGUAAUUGGGGUUUUGUUUAAUUGAUUGAUGCGAGGUGAAAUGGAGCUUUAAUGGAGGAUUUUUGAUGAUGAAUUGAAGCUUGGAAGCUUCGGUCAUGGACUAUCUUUAAGAUCGGACGAAGCGACUGUCGACAAGGCUCGAGGGGAAAAGAUCGAGAUGUCUUCGUGUUUAUUUGAAGAAUUUGGAUAGCAAGUGGAAUAGUAUGAUAUGAUUUGGAGAGUCAAGCUUCCGAAGUUUUAAAUUCUCGGAAGUCAUUUGCACAAGAAGUUAAAGAAGGUUUUCAUUCUAGCGGUCCGCAGUAGUCUAGAUGUCUUUGUCUAUGUAUUUAUAUAGCGCAUUUUAACUCUGAUAUUUUUGUAAAAUGGGGUCACAUGUAUUUUGAUAUAUGAAAAUAAUUUGAUUUGAGAAAAAAAAUUUACACAGGAUUUUAGGCUUGCUACGGGUUUCGGAGCUACCACUCCCAUUCCCUAGCGCCGGUCGCGACUCAUAAAUUUGGGUCGUGACAAAGGUGGUAUCAGAGCAAUGGUUUAGUGUUCCUAGGCCAUUGUUCUUUUGUGAUUGGAGUAUAGGAAAGAGUCAGUUACUUCCUAGGAACUACUGCGGAUUAUAGGGAUUUCCAGUCAUGUCUUUUGAACGUUAUCAUCUUUUUCAUCGAUUUUUCAAACGUUUUACGAAGACGUCCCCUUCUAUAUGUGCUAUUAGGAGUCGAGUUAGAUGUGUGCGCGAGCAUAAUAUAUGUUUUUGUUUACUCGAGUAAGCAAUACGCUUUCGAGUAUCUAUAGUCUGCGAAGAGUUAUAUACUCUCGAGACUCAUAUGAUGUAUGAAUAUCGUUAUGGACAGUGAUUGAAUUAUAAAUUGGUUGGAUUGGAUAUUA